GAUGAACGCUGGCGGCGUGCCUAACACAUGCAAGUCGAGCGGACGGACGAGACUUGCGCUUCUCUGAAGUUGCGGACGGGUGGGUAAGUCAUACGUGGAUAACCUAGCUAUUAGGCUGAGAUCAGUGCAGGAGAGCGUAUCCAAUACCGGAUAAUAUUUUGAACGUGAUGGUUCAAAAGUUAUAUCGGUUUUUGCUGAGCCUGAUACGGAUUAGCGAGUUGGUUGGGUAAGGGCUUACGAAGGCGACGAUGCAUAGCAGAGCUGCGUGGCUGACCAGGCACACUGGAACUGAGACACGGUCCAGACUCCUACGGGAGGCAGCAGUGGGGAAUCUUGGACAAUGGGCGAAAGCCUGACCAAGCAACGCCGCGUGGGUGAAGAAGGUCUUCGGAUGGUAAAACUCUGUUAGUGGGGAAGAAGACAUGUGUGAGUAACUAUGCUUGUUUUGACGGUACCUAAAUAAGAAGCACCGGCUAACUACGUG
rnacentral:rRNA from 1 species